UACGAAGGGGGCUAGCGUUGUUCGGAAUUACUGGGCGUAAAGCGCGCGCAGGCGGCUAUCCAAGUCAGUGGUGAAAGCCCGGAGCUCAACUCCGGAACUGCCUUGAAACUGUUUAGCUUGAGGACGAGAGAGGUGAGUGGAAUUCCCAGUGUAGAGGUGAAAUUCGUAGAUAUUGGGAAGAACACCAGUGGCGAAGGCGGCUCACUGGCUCGUAUCUGACGCUCAGGCGCGAUAGCGUGGGGAGCAAACAGGAUUAGA
rnacentral:rRNA from 1 species